GACGAAGGGGGCUAGCGUUGUUCGGAAUUACUGGGCGUAAAGCGUGUGUAGGUGGUUGUCAUAGUCAGGUGUGAAAGCCUUGAGCUCAACUCAAGAAAUGCACUUGAUACUGGGCAGCUAGAGGACCGGAGAGGAUAGUGGAAUUCCCAGUGUAGCGGUGAAAUACGUAGAGAUUGGGAAGAACACCAGUGGCGAAGGCGGCUAUCUGGACGGUUUCUGACACUAAGACACGAAAGCCAGGGGAGCAAACGGG
rnacentral:rRNA from 1 species